rnacentral:rRNA from 1 species
UAAAGGUGGCCUCUUCUAUGCUGCCGGGUUGGGAUCGGCCCGCGUCCCAUUAGCUAGUUGGUGAGGUAACGGCUCACCAAGGCCACGAUGGGUAGCCGGCCUGAGAGGGUGUACGGCCACACUGGCACUGAGACGGGGGGCCAGUCCCCUAUGGGAGGCGCAGGCGGGAAUAGUUCACAAUGGGCGAAAGCCUGAUGACGCGACGCCGCGUGAGCGAAGAAGACCUUCGGGUUGUAAAGCUCUGUCAGGAGGGAAGAAGGCUCUACGGGUCAAUAGCCCGUGGGAUUGACGGUACCUCCAGAGGAAGCCCCGGCUAAAUACGUGCCAGCAGCCGCGGUAAUACGUAUGGGGCAAGCGUUGUCCGGAUUUACUGGGCGUAAAGGGCGCGUAGGCGGUUUGUUAAGUCGAAGGUGAAAUCCUCGGGCUCAACUCGAGAAUUGCCUUCGAUACUGGCAAACUAGAGUGGCGGAGAGGAAAGCGGAACUCUUGGUGUAACGGUGGAAUGUGUAGAUGUCAAGAGGAACACCGGUGGCGAAGGCGGCUUUCUGGACGCACACUGACGCUCAGGCGCGAAAGCGUGGGUAGCAAACAGGAUUAGAUACCCUGGUAGUCCACGCCAUAAACGAUGGGUACUAGGUGUCGGGGGUAUCGACCCCUCCGGUGCCGCAGUUAACGCACUAAGUACCCCGCCUGGGGAUUAUGGUCGCAAGGCUGAAACUCAAAGGAAUUGACGGGGCCCCGCACAAGCGGUGGAGCAUGUGGUUUAAUUCGACGCAACGCGAAGAACCUUACCUGGGCUUGACAUGCUUGGGACAGCGCUGGAAACAGCGUCUCUCCUUCGGGAGCCCUUGCACAGGUGCUGCAUGGCUGUCGUCAGCUCGUGUCGUGAGAUGUUGGGUUAAGUCCCGCAACGAGCGCAACCCUCGUUACUAGUUGCCAUCAGUUCGGCUGGGCACUCUAGUGAGACUGCCGGUGAUAAACCGGAGGCCGGUGAGGAUGAUGUCAAGUCAUCAUGGCCCUUACGCCCAGGGCUACACACGUGCUACAAUGGUCGGCACAAAGGGUCGCUAAGCCGCGAGGUGGAGCUAAUCCCAAAAAGCCGGCCUCAGUUCGGAUUGGAGUCUGCAACCCGACUCCAUGAAGGCGGAAUCGCUAGUAAUCGCGGAUCAGCAUCCCGCGCUGAAUAUGUUCCCGGGGCUUGUACACACCGCCCGUCAUAUCACCCGAGUCGG